UGUGUUGCUGACAGCUUCUACACCUUAAACAAAUUCAUGCCUAGGUGGCUCUUGGGCCGGUCAUCCUUGUUACACGAGGGGCAACCAUUAUUAUCUAUAUAUGGUAAGAUCUUGUUAAAUGCUGAAAUAAUGCAGUACAGUGUGUAGAAUGCUGAAAUAAUGCAGUACAGUGUGUAGAAUGCUGAAAUAAUACAGUACAGUGUGUAGAAUGCUGAAAUAAUACAGUACAGUGUGUAGAAUGCUGAAAUAAUGCAGUACAGUGUGUAGAAUACUGAAAUAAUGCAGUAUAGUGUGUAGAAUGCUGAAAUAAUACAGUAAAGUGUGUAGAAUGCUGAAAUAAUGCAUUACAGUGUGUAAAGUGUGAGAAUGUAAAGUGAAUACGGAUUACAGACUCCAUAUUAACAUUCACAACUGAAGGGAAGAAAUCUGUAGACAGGGAGGAUAGAGAGAAGGAUCUGGUGAUUACUGGAGGUAGACAGAGCUGAUAGUGAGGGAGACUGGCUGAUUUAGGAGAUCAAUUCUCUGAAACUGACGAUAAAGUCAGAGGUGUGUGCGCAUGUUUGAAUAUAUAUAUGUGUGUGUGUGUGUGUGACUCCUCUAGCAACUUGCAGCAGAAUGUCAUAUAACUGUACCAAUGAUGUACUGUAUAAGGAGAGUUGAUCCAUUUAUAACUGGUUGGUUCUGCUCAACAGGUUUUGUCUAUCUUUGAUUGGUAAUACUGUACAGUACUGUUAUAUAACAAUUAAAAUAUCCAACAAUUUUCUGCUGCAUUUUAUGAGGUUUAGUACGAGUGUUGUUGGUGAUUGAUUGAUGGACACAUGAUCAAAUAUAUUGGCUUUUUCAGGGCUUCAGUGACCUUCCAAUAUGUAUGGCUGAGACUCACCCGUCCCUGAUGUCAGAUUCUAGUAAGAAGGGAGCGUCCACGAGCUUCACAAUUCCUGUGAGAGACGUAGGAGCAUCAGUUGGUGGUGGCUUCCUCGACCCUCUAGUAUGAACGGUCUGGAGGAAGUUGGUGUUUGAUGUAAUCCUCCUUGAUGGCUUUGUAAUGAGCUGCCAGUGACUGAUGUGACGGCACUGGACGUGAGCGCCUUUAAGACCAGACUUGACCAACACUGAUACAUUCAGGAGCCAGUUCAUGCCCAGUACUUGCCAACAGUGUGUAACUGAGACCUGACCAACAGCCCAAGUGGGGAAGAGGAGAGGAUAAACAAAAACUGCAACAGUAAUUUAUUGUGGAAGCUUGAAGACAUUUAACAUAUUAUGUUAAAGAGAUUGCUGAUUACAGUAAACCCUUGCCCAUUCAUAGGUUUGCAAUUUACAAUUUCCACGAUUCACAGUAAGUAGAUGGUGGCUAUGGUGGCAAGCCUCUCCUGCAGCACAAUGAGUCACCCCACGUGCCUGCAGUGUCUCCUCUCCCUCUGUUUGUGCUCAGCCAUUGCCUGUGACACAGCAUCUCAUGUUGUACUCUCAAAACUUUUGUGAUACUGUGUGAAAAUGGCCCCUAAAAGACUGCUAGUGAUGCUAGUCGAGUGAAAUGUAAAAGGCAAGUCAGUGAUGACCCUGACAAACCUGGCUUUCUUUACCGCUCGGCAAACCCUCGGGCUUUAAAGGGUGAAAACAAGAAUCUUUUGCCAGUUUUUUGGCAGUCCAACAAAAAGUCAUGGGUAACUGUGCAAGCAUUCAUGGAUUGGUUCCAUAAAUGCUUCAUCCUGGAAGUGGAAAAGUAUCUUGCCUCCAAGAAGAUGGAAUUCAGUGUGUUACUAUUGAUAGACAAUGCACCAGGCCACCCAGUUGUAGAGGGUGUUCCUACAGUACCCCUAACACCACUGCUUUUAUUCAGCCUCUCAAUGUUUGCAAGCGUUGGAAGGAGUACAGCAUUGCAGACUACAUUAGUGAAGCAUUCAAUGAACUCAAACCAGAGACAGUUAAUGCUUGUUGGCGCACCUUAUGGCCUGAGUGUAUGAAUAACUUCAGGGAUUUCCGUCUAUAGUAAAGGAUGUGAAUGACAUUGUGAGUGUUGCACGUCAGUUGGGUGGUGAGGGGUUUGUGGAUAUGGCUGCUGAAGACGUGGAAGAGCUGAUUGAUGGGCAUGGAGAGGAACUGACAGAAGAGAAUUUGAAAGAGUUGGUAUAAAGUGCCGAGAGAGAUGAAGAGGAAGAAAUUAUGGAAUUACAACAAGAAGGUUGGAGCUUGAACAAUUUGGGUGAACCAUUUUGACAGGUAAAGGUGGUAGCUGAUUCCAUUGUUGACCACGGCCCUUCCAUGGAACGGAGCCUUAGGAUGGUCCGAGGAAUCAACCAGGUAUUAUUUCCGUACCAAGAAAUGUUUAAAGACCUCAAAGCCAAGAGGAAACAACUACCAAUUGCGAUGUUUUUCAAGAACCAGCUGCUCACCCAGCUGAUUUGUCUCCCUCUCCUGGCCAUUUGCCACCUCCCGGCUGCAGGCCUCUCCACCACCCACCCUCUUCCACCAGUGAUCCUGAUGAUCUCCCUAUGCUUCAGUAACCAGAUGUCUCCCUAUGUACAGUACACUUCAUCAAGCUCCAAACUUCCACAUAUGAAGGUUCCCGUACAACUUGGAUCAACCCAAAGAUGACAAGAUUCUUGCCACUGGCCAGAAGAUAUACGGCGCCGACGACAUACAUCCAACCUAAGCUAACCACUACAGGAAACAGGGCUUCAGUGACCUUCCAAUAUGUAUGGCUGAGACUCGCCCGUCCCUGAUGUCAGAUCCUAGUAAGAAGGGAGCGUCCACGAGCUUCACAAUUCCUGUUAGAGACGUAGGAGCAUCAGUUGGUGGUGGCUUCCUCGACCCUCUAGUAUGAACGGUCUGGAGGAAGUUGGUGUUUGAUGUCAUCCUCCUUGAUGGCUUUGUAAUGAGCUGCCAGUGACUGUUGUGACGGCACUGGACGUGAGCGCCUUUAAGACCAGACUUGACCAACACUGAUACAUUUAGGAGCCAGUUCAUGCCCAGUACUUGCCAACAGUGUGUAACAGAGACCUGACCAACAGCUGGGCUGCUCACCCAGCUGAUUUGUCUCCCUCUCCUGGCCAUUUGUCACCUCCCGGCUGCAGGCCUCUCCACCACCCACCAUUGCAUCACCCUCUUCCACCAGUGAUCCUGAUGAUCUCCCUAUGCUUCAGUAACCAGAUGUCUCCCUAUGUACAGUACACUUCAUCAUCUCCAAACUUCCACAUAUGAAGGUUCCCGUACAACUUGGAUCAACCCAAAGAUGACAAGAUUCAUGCCACUGGCCAGAAGAUAUACGACCUGCCAGUGACCGCUGUGCCGGCACUGGAUGCGAGUUCCUUGAAGACCAGACUUGACCAACACUGGAGUGGGUACAUUCAAGAGCCUGUACAUAUCCAGUACUUGUCAACUGUGUAGCAGAAAAAUGACCAGCCACUUGACUGAUUAGUGAACCGACAAGAGGAUAGAGUGAAAGAGAGGAGCACCGGCAAGUGUGUGAGUGUGGUGGUGAUGUCAGCGACAGCAGUGGUGUUGGUUGAAGCAGCAGUUGUGAGGGAAGUAUGGUCCAGUAUACAGUACAAUAUACUAACACUUCUCAUAUUUUACAGGAGUGGCAGCAGCAGCAGAGGGAGGAGGUGUAUACUAAUGACAAUUCUCUCAUCUUUUACAGGAGCUGUGGUGGUGGAGGCAGCAGAGGGAGGGGUGGGGAAUACUAAUCACACUUCUCUUUUUCUUGCAGAUGGCG
rnacentral:lncRNA from 1 species